GGGGUGUGUUGCAUAGGGCUAUGCAUUUUGAUUGCAGAUCAUAAAUAUAAGGUUCAACUCCUUCACAUCCCU
rnacentral:tRNA from 1 species